AUGGAAACAUGGAGUGUUAAGGAACCAGAGAACCAGAGUGAACCUCCAGCUCUGCUUUAAUGUGAUUGGACAGAAGCAGAGGAGCUGGAUUACCUCAGCAGAUUAUCUGCUGUCCAUCAAACUGGAUUAGAACGGAUUAGAGAGCAGCGGCCUCAGCAGAACAACCUGACCGAGUUCAUUCACUGCUCUAGCGGGUAGAACAACAGGUAGAACCACUGAUAGAACAACUGGUAGAACAACAGGUAGAACAAUAGGUGGAACAACAGGUAGUACAACUAGUAGAACAACCUGCUGCUCCAGCAGACAUUCAGGAAUAACUCUGGACAGGAAGUCAUGUGAUGGAUGAUAAACUUUUGAAGGAAAUUAUUUGAUCUGGAUUUUUGUCCGGAAGAACUUUAUUAAAUUUGUUAAAGAACCAAAAUGCACGUUUCAGUAAUUCCAUCAUAAAAACAUCAAAGUUGUAGCAGUCGGAGGAACGUCCGAGUUCUAGGAGUCUGAGGAACGUCUGAGUUCUAGCAGUCUGAGGAACGUCCGAGUUCUAGGAGUCUGAGGAACGUCUGAGUUCUAGGAAUCUGAGGAACGUCUGAGUUCUAGCAGUCUGAGGAAAGUCUGAGUUCUAGGAGUCUGAGGAACGUCUGAGGUCGAGCAGUUUGAGGAACAUCUGAGGUGUAGUAGCCUGAGGAACGUCUCAGUUCUAGCAGUCUGAAGAACGUCUGAGUUCUAGGAUUCUGAUGAACAUCUGAGUUCUCGGAGUCUGAGGAACAUCCGUGAUCUAGAAGUCUGAGGAAUGUCUGAGUUCUAGCAAUCUGAGGAACGUCUGAGUUCUAGGAAUCUGAGCAACGUCUGAGUUCUAGCAGUUUGAGGAAUGUCUGAGUUCCAGCAGUUUGAGGAACAUCUGCGGUCUUGCAGUGUGAGGAACGUCUGAGUUCUAGCAGUCUGAGGAACGUCUGAGUUCUAGCAGUCUGAGGAACGUCUGAGUUCUAGCAGUCUGAGGAACGUCUGAGUUCCAGCAGUGUCACGAACAUCUGCGGUCUCACAGUCUGAGGAACGUCUGAGUUCUAGCAGUCUGAGGAAUGUCUGAGUUCUAGGAUUCUGAGGAACGUCUGAGUUCUAGGAGUCUGAGGAACGUCUGAGUUCUCGGAGUCUUAGGAGCGUCUGAGUUCUAGGAGUCUGAGGAACGUCUGAGUUCUAGGAGUCUGAGGAAUGUCUGAGUUCUAGAAAUAUGAGGAACAUCUGGGUACAAGCAGUCUGAGGAACGUCUGAGUUCUCGGAGUCUUAGGAACGUCUGAGUUCAAGGAGUCUGAGGAACGUCUGAGUUCUAGCAGUCUGAGGAAUGUCUGAGUUCUAGAAAUAUGAGGAACAUCUGGGUACAAGCAGUCUGAGGAACGUCUGAGUUCUCGGAGUCUUAAGGAACGUCUGAGUUCUAGGAGUCUGAGGAACGUCUGAGUUCUAGGAGUCUGAGGAACGUCUGAGUUCUAAGAGUCUGAGGAAUGUCUGAGUUCUAGCAGUCUGAGGAACAUCUCAGUUCUAGGAUUCUGAGGAACGUCUGAGUUUGAGCAGUCUGAGGAAUGUCUGAGAUCGAGGACAGUGAAUAACAUCUGAGUUCUAGCAGUCUGAGGAACGUCUGAGUUCUUGGAUUCUGAGGAACGUCUGAGUUCUAGCAGUUUGAGGAACUUCUGAGGUCUAGGAGACUGAGGAACAUCUGAGUUCUAGGAGUCUGAGGAACGUCUGAGUACUAGGAGUCUGAGGAACGUCUGAGUUCUAGCAGUAUGAGGAAUGUCUGAGUUCUAGCAGUGUGAGGAAUGUCUGAGUUCCAGCAGUUUGAGGAACAUCUGCGGUCUUGCAGUGUGAGGAACGUCUGAGUUCUAGCAGUCUGAGGAACGUCUGAGUUCUAGCAGUCUGAGGAACAUCUGAGUUCAAGGAGUCUGAGGAACGUCUGAGUUCUAGCAGUGUCACGAACAUCUGCGGUCUACCAGUCUGAGGAACGUCUGAGUUCUAGCAGUCUGAGGAAUGUCUGAGUUCCAGGAAUCUGAGGAACGUCUGAGUUCUAGCAGUCUGAGGAACGUCUGAGAUCUAGCAGUCUGAGGAACGUCCGAGUUCUAGCAGUCUGAGGAACGUCUGAGUUCCAGGAAUCUGAGGAACGUCUGAGUUCUAGCAGUCUGAGGAAUGUCUGAGUUCCAGGAGUCUGAGGAAUGUCUGAUUCCUAGGAGUCUGAGGAACAUCUGAGUUCUAGGAUUCUGAAGAACGUCUGAGUUGUAGGAGACUGAGGAACAUCUGAGUUCUAAGAGUAUGAGGAAUGUCUGAGUUCCAGCAGUCUGAGGAACGUCUGAGAUCUAGGAGACUGAAUAACAUCUGAGUUCUAGCAGUCUGAGGAACGUCUGAGUUCUAGGAUUCUGAGGAACGUCUGAGUUCUAGCAGUCUGAGGAACGUCUGAGUUCUAGGAGACUGAGGAACAUCUGAGUUCUAGCAGUCUGAGGAACGUCUGAGUUCCAGCAGUGUCACGAACAUCUGCGGUCUCACAGUCUGAGGAACGUCUGAGUUCUAGCAGUCUGAGGAAUGUCUGAGUUCUAGCAGUCUGAGGAAUGUCUGAGUUCUAGGAUUCUGAGGAACAUCUGAGUUCUAGCAGUCUGAGGAAUGUCUGAGUUCUAGGAUUCUGAGGAACAUCUGAGUUCUCGGAGUCUGAGGAACAUCUGAGAUCAAGCAGUCUGAGGAACGUCUGAGUUCUCGGAGUCUUAGGAGCGUCUGAGUUCUAGGAGUCUGAGGAACGUCUGAGUUCUAGGAGUCUGAGGAACGUCUGAGUUCUCGGAGUCUUAGGAGCGUCUGAGUUCUAGGAGUCUGAGGAACGUCUGAGUUCUAGGAGUCUGAGGAACGUCUGAGUUCUCGGAGUCUUAGGAGCGUCUGAGUUCUAGGAGUCUGAGGAACGUCUGAGUUCUAGGAGUCUGAGGAACGUCUGAGUUCAAGGAGUCUGAGGAACGUCUGAGUUCUAGCAGUCUGAGGAAUGUCUGAGCUCUAGAAAUAUGAGGAACAUCUGGGUACAAGCAGUCUGAGGAACGUCUGAGUUCUCGGAGUCUUAAGGAACGUCUGAGUUCUAGGAGUCUGAGGAACAUCUGAGUUCUAGGAGUCUGAGGAACGUCUGAGUUCUCGGAGUCUUAGGAGCGUCUGAGUUCUAGGAGUCUGAGGAACGUCUGAGUUCUAGGAGUCUGAGGAACGUCUGAGUUCUCGGAGUCUUAGGAGCGUCUGAGUUCUCGGAGUCUUAGGAGCGUCUGAGUUCUAGGAGUCUGAGGAACGUCUGAGUUCUCGGAGUCUUAGGAGCGUCUGAGUUCUAGGAGUCUGAGGAACGUCUGAGUUCUAGGAGUCUGAGGAACGUCUGAGUUCAAGGAGUCUGAGGAACGUCUGAGUUCUAGCAGUCUGAGGAAUGUCUGAGUUCUAGAAAUAUGAGGAACAUCUGGGUACAAGCAGUCUGAGGAACGUCUGAGUUCUCGGAGUCUUAAGGAAUGUCUGAGUUCUAGGAGUCUGAGGAACGUCUGAGUUCUAGGAGUCUGAGGAACGUCUGAGUUCUCGGAGUCUGAGGAAUGUCUGAGUUCCAGCAGUCUGAGGAACAUCUCAGUUCUAGGAUUCUGAGGAACGUCUGAGUUUGAGCAGUCUGAGGAAUGUCUGAGAUCUAGGACAGUGAAUAACAUCUGAGUUCUAGCAGUCUGAGGAACGUCUGAGUUCUUGGAUUCUGAGGAACGUCUGAGUUCUAGCAGUUUGAGGAACUUCUGAGGUCUAGGAGACUGAGGAACAUCUGAGUUCUAGGAGUCUGAGGAACGUCUGAGUACUAGGAGUCUGAGGAACGUCUGAGUUCUAGCAGUGUGAGGAAUGUCUGAGUUCUAGCAGUGUGAGGAAUGUCUGAGUUCCAGCAGUUUGAGGAACAUCUGCGGUCUUGCAGUGUGAGGAACGUCUGAGUUCUAGCAGUCUGAGGAACGUCUGAGUUCUAGCAGUCUGAGGAACGUCUGAGUUCUAGCAGUCUGAGGAACGUCUGAGUUCUAGCAGUGUCACGAACAUCUGCGGUCUACCAGUCUGAGGAACGUCUGAGUUCUAGCAGUCUGAGGAAUGUCUGAGUUCCAGGAAUCUGAGGAACGUCUGAGUUCUAGCAGUCUGAGGAACGUCUGAGAUCUAGCAGUCUGAGGAACGUCUGAGUUCUAGCAGUCUGAGGAACGUCUGAGUUCCAGGAAUCUGAGGAACGUCUGAGUUCUAGCAGUCUGAGGAAUGUCUGAGUUCCAGGAGUCUGAGGAACAUCUGAGUUCUAGGAUUCUGAAGAACGUCUGAGUUGUAGGAGACUGAGGAACAUCUGAGUUCUAAGAGUAUGAGGAAUGUCUGAGUUCUAGCAGUCUGAAGAACGUCUGAGUUCUAGGAUUCUGAGGAACGUCUGAGUUCUAGGAGUCUGAGGAACGUAUGAGUUCUAGCAGUAUGAGGAAUAUCUGAGUUCCAGCAGUUUGAGGAACAUCUGCGGUCUAGCAGUCUGAAGAACGUCUGAGUUCUAGGAGACUGAGGAACGUAUGAGUUCUAGCAGUAUGAGGAAUGUCUGAGUUCCAGCAGUUUGAGGAACAUCUGCGGUCUUGCAGUGUGAGGAACGUCUGAGUUCUAGCAGUCUGAGGAAUGUCUGAGUUCGAGCAGUCUGAGGACCGUCUGAGUUCAAGGAGUCUGAGGAACGUCUGAGUUCAAGGAGUCUGAGGAACGUCUGAGUUCUAGCAGUUUGAGGAACAUCUGAGGUCUCGCAUUCUGAGGAACGUCUCAGUUCUAGCAGUCUGAGGAACGUCUGAGUUCUAGGAUUCUGAGGAACAUCUGAGUUCUCGGAGUCUGAGGAACAUCUGAGAUCAAGCAGUCUGAGGAACGUCUGAGUUCUCGGAGUCUUAGGAGCGUCUGAGUUCUAGGAGUCUGAGGAACGUCUGAGUUCAAGGAGUCUGAGGAACGUCUGAGUUCUAGCAGUUUGAGGAACAUCUGCGGUCUAGCAGUCUGAGGAAUGUCUGAGUUCUAGAAAUAUGAGGAACAUCUGGGUACAAGCAGUCUGAGGAACGUCUGAGUUCUCGGAGUCUUAAGGAACGUCUGAGUUCUAGGAGUCUGAGGAACGUCUGAGUUCUAGGAGUCUGAGGAACGUCUGAGUUCUAAGAGUCUGAGGAACGUCUGAGUUCGAGCAGUCUGAGGAAUGUCUGAGAUCUUGGACACUGAAUAACAUCUGAGUUCUAGCAGUCUGAGGAACGUCUGAGUUCUAGGAUUCUGAGGAACGUCUGAGUUCCAGCAGUUUGAGGAACUUCUGAGGUCUAGGAGACUGAGGAACAUCUGAGUUCUCGGAGUCUGAGGAACGUCUGAGUACUAGGAGUCUGAGGAACGUCUGAGUUCUAGCAGUAUGAGGAACGUCUGAGUUCUAGCAGUGUCACGAACAUCUGCGGUCUCACAGUCUGAGGAACGUCUGAGUUCUAGCAGUCUGAGGAAUGUCUGAGUUCCAGGAAUCUGAGGAACGUCUGAGUUCUAGCAGUCUGAGGAACGUCUGAGAUCUAGCAGUCUGAGGAACGUCUGAGUUCUAGCAGUCUGAGGAACGUCUGAGUUCCAGGAAUCUGAGGAACGUCUGAGUUCUAGCAGUCUGAGGAACGUCUGAGUUCCAGGAAUCUGAGGAACGUCUGAGUUCUAGCAGUCUGAUGAAUGUCUGAGAUCUAGAAAUAUGAGGAACAUCUGGGUACAAGCAGUCUGAGGAACGUCUGAGUUCUCGGAGUCUUAAGGAACGUCUGAGUUCUAGGAGUCUGAGGAACGUCUGAGUUCUAGGAGUCUGAGGAACGUCUGAGUUCUCGGAGUCUUAGGAGCGUCUGAGUUCUAGGAGUCUGAGGAACGUCUGAGUUCUAGGAGUCUGAGGAACGUCUGAGUUCUCGGAGUCUUAGGAGCGUCUGAGUUCUCGGAGUCUUAGGAGCGUCUGAGUUCUAGGAGUCUGAGGAACGUCUGAGUUCUCGGAGUCUUAGGAGCGUCUGAGUUCUAGGAGUCUGAGGAACGUCUGAGUUCUAGGAGUCUGAGGAACGUCUGAGUUCAAGGAGUCUGAGGAACGUCUGACUUCUAGCAGUCUGAGGAAUGUCUGAGUUCUAGAAAUAUGAGGAACAUCUGGGUUGUACCCAGAUGUUCCUCAUCUGGGUGGAGGAACAUCUGAGUUCUAAGAGUAUGAGGAAUGUCUGAGUUCUAGCAGUCUGAAGAACGUCUGAGUUCUAGGAUUCUGAGGAACGUCUGAGUUCUAGGAGUCUGAGGAACGUAUGAGUUCUAGCAGUAUGAGGAAUAUCUGAGUUCCAGCAGUUUGAGGAACAUCUGCGGUCUAGCAGUCUGAAGAACGUCUGAGUUCUAGGAGACUGAGGAACGUAUGAGUUCUAGCAGUAUGAGGAAUGUCUGAGUUCCAGCAGUUUGAGGAACAUCUGCGGUCUUGCAGUGUGAGGAACGUCUGAGUUCUAGCAGUCUGAGGAAUGUCUGAGGUCGAGCAGUCUGAGGACCGUCUGAGUUCAAGGAGUCUGAGGAACGUCUGAGUUCAAGGAGUCUGAGGAACGUCUGAGUUCUAGCAGUUUGAGGAACAUCUGAGGUCUCGCAUUCUGAGGAACGUCUCAGUUCUAGCAGUCUGAAGAACGUCUGAGUUCUAGGAUUCUGAGGAACAUCUGAGUUCUCGGAGUCUGAGGAACAUCUGAGAUCAAGCAGUCUGAGGAACGUCUGAGUUCUCGGAGUCUUAGGAGCGUCUGAGUUCUAGGAGUCUGAGGAACGUCUGAGUUCAAGGAGUCUGAGGAACGUCUGAGUUCUAGCAGUUUGAGGAACAUCUGCGGUCUAGCAGUCUGAGGAAUGUCUGAGUUCUAGAAAUAUGAGGAACAUCUGGGUACAAGCAGUCUGAGGAACGUCUGAGUUCUCGGAGUCUUAAGGAACGUCUGAGUUCUAGGAGUCUGAGGAACGUCUGAGAUCUAGCAGUCUGAGGAACGUCUGAGUUCUAGCAGUCUGAGGAACGUCUGAGUUCAAGGAAUCUGAGGAACGUCUGAGUUCUAGCAGUCUGAGGAACGUCUGAGUUCCAGGAAUCUGAGGAACGUCUGAGUUCUAGCAGUCUGAUGAAUGUCUGAGAUCUAGAAAUAUGAGGAAUAUCUGGGUACAAGCAGUCUGAGGAACGUCUGAGUUCUCGGAGUCUUAAGGAACGUCUGAGUUCUAGGAGUCUGAGGAACGUCUGAGUUCUAGGAGUCUGAGGAACGUCUGAGUUCUCGGAGUCUUAGGAGCGUCUGAGUUCUAGGAGUCUGAGGAACGUCUGAGUUCUAGGAGUCUGAGGAACGUCUGAGUUCUCGGAGUCUUAGGAGCGUCUGAGUUCUCGGAGUCUUAGGAGCGUCUGAGUUCUAGGAGUCUGAGGAACGUCUGAGUUCUCGGAGUCUUAGGAGCGUCUGAGUUCUAGGAGUCUGAGGAACGUCUGAGUUCUAGGAGUCUGAGGAACGUCUGAGUUCAAGGAGUCUGAGGAACGUCUGAGUUCUAGCAGUCUGAGGAAUGUCUGAGUUCUAGAAAUAUGAGGAACAUCUGGGUACAAGCAGUCUGAGGAACGUCUGAGUUCUCGGAGUCUUAAGGAACGUCUGAGUUCUAGGAGUCUGAGGAACAUCUGAGUUCUAGGAGUCUGAGGAACGUCUGAGUUCUAAGAGUCUGAGGAAUGUCUGAGUUCUAGCAGUCUGAGGAACAUCUCAGUUCUAGGAUUCUGAGGAACGUCUGAGUUCUAGCAGUUUGAGGAACUUCUGAGUUCUCGGAGUCUUAAGGAACGUCUGAGUUCUAGGAGUCUGAGGAACGUCUGAGUUCUAGGAGUCUGAGGAACGUCUGAGUUCUAAGAGUCUGAGGAAUGUCUGAGUUCUAGCAGUCUGAGGAACAUCUCAGUUCUAGGAUUCUGAGGAACGUCUGAGUUUGAGCAGUCUGAGGAAUGUCUGAGAUCUAGGACAGUGAAUAACAUCUGAGUUCUAGCAGUCUGAGGAACGUCUGAGUUCUUGGAUUCUGAGGAACGUCUGAGUUCUAGCAGUUUGAGGAACUUCUGAGGUCUAGGAGACUGAGGAACAUCUGAGUUCUAGGAGUCUGAGGAACGUCUGAGUACUAGGAGUCUGAGGAACGUCUGAGUUCUAGCAGUAUGAGGAACGUCUGAGUUCUAGCAGUGUCACGAACAUCUGCGGUCUCACAGUCUGAGGAACGUCUGAGUUCUAGCAGUCUGAGGAAUGUCUGAGUUCCAGGAAUCUGAGGAACGUCUGAGUUCUAGCAGUCUGAGGAACGUCUGAGAUCUAGCAGUCUGAGGAACGUCUGAGUUCUAGCAGUCUGAGGAACGUCUGAGUUCCAGGAAUCUGAGGAACGUCUGAGUUCUAGCAGUCUGAGGAACGUCUGAGUUCCAGGAAUCUGAGGAACGUCUGAGUUCUAGCAGUCUGAUGAAUGUCUGAGAUCUAGAAAUAUGAGGAACAUCUGGGUACAAGCAGUCUGAGGAACGUCUGAGUUCUCGGAGUCUUAAGGAACGUCUGAGUUCAAGGAGUCUGAGGAACGUCUGAGUUCUAGGAGUCUGAGGAACGUCUGAGUUCUCGGAGUCUUAGGAGCGUCUGAGUUCUAGGAGUCUGAGGAACGUCUGAGUUCUAGGAGUCUGAGGAACGUCUGAGUUCUCGGAGUCUUAGGAGCGUCUGAGUUCUCGGAGUCUUAGGAGCGUCUGAGUUCUAGGAGUCUGAGGAACGUCUGAGUUCUCGGAGUCUUAGGAGCGUCUGAGUUCUAGGAGUCUGAGGAACGUCUGAGUUCUAGGAGUCUGAGGAACGUCUGAGUUCAAGGAGUCUGAGGAACGUCUGAGUUCUAGCAGUCUGAGGAAUGUCUGAGUUCUAGAAAUAUGAGGAACAUCUGGGUACAAGCAGUCUGAGGAACGUCUGAGUUCUCGGAGUCUUAAGGAACGUCUGAGUUCUAGGAGUCUGAGGAACGUCUGAGUUCUAGGAGUCUGAGGAACGUCUGAGUUCUAAGAGUCUGAGGAAUGUCUGAGUUCUAGCAGUCUGAGGAACAUCUCAGUUCUAGGAUUCUGAGGAACGUCUGAGUUCUAGCAGUUUGAGGAACUUCUGAGUUCUCGGAGUCUUAAGGAACGUCUGAGUUCUAGGAGUCUGAGGAACGUCUGAGUUCUAAGAGUCUGAGGAAUGUCUGAGUUCUAGCAGUCUGAGGAACAUCUCAGUUCUAGGAUUCUGAGGAACGUCUGAGUUUGAGCAGUCUGAGGAAUGUCUGAGAUCUAGGACAGUGAAUAACAUCUGAGUUCUAGCAGUCUGAGGAACGUCUGAGUUCUUGGAUUCUGAGGAACGUCUGAGUUCUAGCAGUUUGAGGAACUUCUGAGGUCUAGGAGACUGAGGAACAUCUGAGUUCUAGGAGUCUGAGGAACGUCUGAGUACUAGGAGUCUGAGGAACGUCUGAGUUCUAGCAGUAUGAGGAAUGUCUGAGUUCUAGCAGUGUGAGGAAUGUCUGAGUUCCAGCAGUUUGAGGAACAUCUGCGGUCUUGCAGUGUGAGGAACGUCUGAGUUCUAGCAGUCUGAGGAACGUCUGAGUUCUAGCAGUCUGAGGAACGUCUGAGUACUAGGAGUCUGAG